GACGGAGGAUGCAAGCGUUAUCCGGAAUGAUUGGGCGUAAAGCGUCCGCAGGUGGCAGUUCAAGUCUGCUGUCAAAGCCCGGGGCUUAACUUCGGAAAGGCAGUGGAAACUGAACAGCUGGAGUACGGUAGGGGCAGAGGGAAUUUCCGGUGGAGCGGUAAAAUGCGUAGAGAUCGGAAAGAACACCAACGGCGAAAGCACUCUGCUGGGCCGACACUGACACUGAGAGACGAAAGCUAGGGGAGCGAAUGGG
rnacentral:rRNA from 1 species